GUCCUAUGGAAGUUUUUGCCCAGAAGAAUGAUCUGGCCUGUAAAGCACAAUUCAAGUGGCCCUGUUUCUAUCUGAGUUUGACGCCACAGAUCUGGAUAACUUCAAAGAUCUCUUCUGUCUCUGUGUCUGUGAUUAUAUGAUCUACACAGUAGGAUAUGAGAUGGAGUACUCCUUUGACAGUAAACCAGAGAUACAGGAAAAAAAGGAAAACUCAAAGAAGAGGUUCUGGAGUGAGAGUGAUGCAGGUCAUAAACAUGCAUAUUUGUCCUUGGACUCUUGUCCAUGUCCUCACAUCAUUUUGCUGCUGGGGAUCCACUGUACAUGCUAAUGACUGGAUUAUGCUGUUGCUGAUACAAUUUUGAGGGUGUUGAAGCAUCCAUUCUCUGAAGAAGCUGAAGGAGGAGAAGAUAC